UUGAUUACGGCCCUGCCCUUUGACACACCGGCCCGUCGCUGCCCGGGACUGAGCCAUUUCGAGAAAUUUGGGGACCGUUGAUUUAAUUUUUCUAAAUUACUUUGAUGCAGACCAAUUUAAUCGCAGUGGCUUGAACCGGGCAAAAGUCGUAACAAGGUUGCUGUAGGUGAACCUGCUGCUGGAUCAUUAC
rnacentral:rRNA from 1 species